UAGGGAAUAUUGGGCAAUGGACGCAAGUCUGACCCAGCCAUGCCGCGUGCAGGAUGACGGCCCUCUGGGUUGUAAACUGCUUUUAUACGGGAAGAAAAGUUGCUACGUGUAGCAAAAUCGACGGUACCGUAAGAAUAAGGAUCGGCUAACUCCGUG
rnacentral:rRNA from 1 species